GAAGCUGCUUGCCCUCCCUCCAAUAUAUUGAUUGUGGGAAAAUGAGUGAACUAUUAUUUUUAUCUGUUAUGGAUGAACAUAUGUGUACUAUUUGUAGCAAACAUCUCUCCAACUGGAAGGAAAAUAUUGAUGUUUGCUCCAUGGCGAAGCACUAAAGAGGCAUGCAGAGACAGACACAGGACUUGCCCUCCCUCCAUGAAACAAGUCCACAAAAUUACAAGUUGAAAGUGAGUGGGAGUAUGAUGGACUGUGUAGACUUGGUAUAGGAGUAGCUUGCAUUUAAGUUUGAAACAAGGGAUUUCCCUACCGCUGUUCAAUGACAUGUACGUUGUGUGGUGUCCGAUUUCAUUGUCUUCGGGAUCGACCAUGUUCGGAUGCGGUUUGAUAACGUGACCGGCCACCGUUGGCAGGGUUAAAAAAGGAUAAAUGGUAACACAGAAGGAGUGUCGUAUUUUCUUUUGUGGGGUUAGAAGAAAAUUCAUUUCUUAAUGAGUUACAAGUUCACUCCUACAAAGCAUAGGAACAUUUGCAGGUCCCGAAUACAACCAUACUGCGGUACGACCCUCGGCACGGCCAAAAGUAACAAAGUAAUGGCUAACAGAAUUCCGGCUCCUACUUACAUGAACAAUGACAUUAACUUAGACUACCUCAGUGCAACCCAUUUCGACUUCCACCCGAGUUUAGACCAUUGAAGAGCGAGGUUGAGACCCUCCUCACAAGUAAGGAACUCAGCUUGAAGUGCCCCAGAGUGUCAUAUUGAUAUAGGGGACGCGGACGUGGGGAUCUUGAGCCAUGCUUAUUGGGUUAUGGGUGUCUAAAUUUUUCUCUCCCGUUGCAACGCACGGGCAUUUGUGCUAGUAAUAAUAAAGCACCGAUUGAGUCUCCGGGUUCACCGUCGCGGCAGUUUUGCUAAACCCCCCUUAUAAUUUUAGGUAAUUAACCCGCAGUCCUGCAGUUUAGGAAUAAGUGAAAAUAACAAUUCGCGGAAAGAACGCAUGGGCUGAUGUUGUAUUGGGCCUCAGGCUGCUGGGAAAACGCAUGGGCUGACCGUGUUGUAUUGGGUCCUGCUCUAGGAAAAACGCACUGGAUGAAAGCACGCCACCUCCGCCGUGAAUCUCGCAGCCACGGCCGGUGGCCAGUCUCCCUCUCCGGCUUCCAUCCAGCGCCGCCGCCGCGCCCUCUCCCCUUCCCACCAGCCCCAAAUCGGUGCCAUUCUGAGUCUCCUCCACCUCCAACCUCCUGCUGGCGGCCGUGUCGGAUUUGGAUCGGAGUCACUAGCGUGUGCGCGCAGGAGACAAAAUCUCACAUAGACUCAGAAGCCAACAAACAAGUUUUCCCCAUCACUUAAAUCCCUCUCCCAGACCAAAACAAUCGAGCGGAAGACGAUCUGGACGCGAUGGCGCUGGAGUGGGUUGUGCGCUACGCGGCGGGCGCUGACGCCAUCAUGCCGCUGCAGCCGACGCCGCUGAGGAUGGAUGUGCUUCGGCACCGCUCUUCAUCAACCUCUACCUCGCUGUAUCCACUCACCCUGCUAUCAUGGUACCAAAAAGCAAGAUCUGGGCGAAAGUUUACGAGGCGAACUGUAUCUCACGUCAACUCGCCCGCCGCUGGGUAGCCGCCGCCCUCGCCACUGGUCCGCCUCUCCAAGUCUCCGACCGGCUGUUCUACUCGGACAUCGCCGUACAGUUCCUCAUCCGCAAACUCUUGUGCUUCUCAACUAGAAAUCAAUCCCCGAGCUAUUAAUGCCCCCCGUAUUUGUCGCAGGAUAUGCCCAAGGUAAUUUGUUCGACAAAAUGAGUGCUAUUUGUUUGAACUAGAGUACUGUACUAUUGCAGUUGUGUACAUGCAUGCAUGGUUCGAAAAUUGUUUCUUUUACAGUUAUAUAUUAGAAUCGAAUUUGUACGUCUGCAUUUUCACAAUCAGUAUGCAGUAGUGAAAAUCCUUGCUCACGUUUCAUCAUGGAAUAUUUUAUUUUAAUGCUCAUAUGUGGUCACGGAAGAAGAGGCCAACACAAUUUAGUUCAAUGAGUAGAGCAGGAAACUAUGGGUGCAGAUGGACCUUGACAGCCUCAACACUGCUUGUGAUAAGUCCAGUGGCGUGUGAUGUGUUGUCGAAUACAUUGGUGAUUUUGCAGGUGAAGGACGGACACCAACGACGGAGAGGAGGAGAAAGAGGACGACGAUGCUGUUAAAGCUAACUAAAAUUUGAGGGGGCUUUGCAAUGUCGAGAAAAUAAUCAUCAGGGUCGGUUUUCAUGAGGAGAAGGCAUGCUAAACUCUUCAUUAUCACCAGUGGGAUUGAUGUAGUGAUUAAGGAAGAAGUUGCUGAUAAAUCUACGAACCAUCAGCAAUUCACCAGCCGGGAGCGGUCCAGGGGUCCUCAAUUUUAAGAUGAGCUGCAGUAUUUUUAAGAUCAGAAUGUGCCAUAUGAGUGGAGUAGAAGAUAUUAAGUAAGAUAGACUUACUGGUACUAAUUCGCGAGGAUCGUCACAACUAUCAGCAGAUUUGCAGAUGGAGAUCAUGUGUCCGCAAACAUAGUAUCCACAAAGGUUGGUCCCUACUUGUUGCUGAGGACACUGAAAUUGUUUGUACAGAAUUAGUCAUGUAUUUGUACUGUUAGGAACAACCUAACCUGUGUUAGAUGUAUUAUUUAUUUCUUUGGAAAAAUAGAAAGAGGUUUAUUUAGAAGCUUGAACAUUUGACUAGCGUAAGAAAAGGUAUUUGUAGACUGUUGGAUAAAUUUUUCGAAAAUAACGG